rnacentral:piRNA from 1 species
UAACUGGGUGAAACUUAGCAGAAGCAAAACC